AGAGAAACCUUUGCAAAAGGCGGCGUUUUUCACACUCGUUUUGACAAUGCGUUGUUUUCAAACGAGAAAUUGAAAUAAGAUUAACCAGUGUGACUUCUUUUAGAAUAUCAUGAGAUAUCUACAUGGGGGCCCUCAAACAACAAGUAAUUGGACGUUUGCGCGCGAGAACCGAGCUAAUUGUCAGACUCCUAAAACAACUGAUGCCAUAAAAUCGGUAGGACACCCAAUCUAGAAUUGAAGGCUCUUUAAUGCAAAAGUGAUAUCUUGGCACUUGAUAAAUUGUUAAGGGAGAGUGUCUCUGUUAUUCUAACAUUUAGGCUAACUAGCAUGAGACUGGCGCAUGCUACAAGCCAAUAAGGGACUUGAUCUGCUUAGCACUUUUUGAUUUAGUCGGGUUUGUGGGUUUUAUUUCAAAUAAGGAAUUCAAAGACUGGGAAAGCAUUCCAGCUAACCGCGUGUUUUUAUUAUGACCAGCUAAAGUCAAAAUAACACCUGUCUGUAAAGCCAACGCAUUCAAAUCACUCAAAUCCACACCCUUGAAGUCUACCUGCCUCUUAUAGCUUAUAAACACCAACUGAAAAAAAACUUUAGUAUCACCAUUGUUCACGGUUCACGAUAUGCUAGUUAUGUUUAGAGGAAGAGAGCGAGUCCAGACAGCUCCAAAGUAAACGGUCAGCCAGCAGGAAAAUAGAAGCUUGUAUUGUUAACCUCCAACCACGAAGGAGGGGGGGACUUAUUGUUCUCGACAUCGACGACCGCCUGCACCGAGCGGUGUUGGGGAAUGCUUUGUCAGGGCUCUCAGCGGCUCAACAGGUUUCUGUAUGUUUCCUAUUUGACAGUUAAAACGGGUCUGAAUAAGUUGAGAUGUGAA